rnacentral:rRNA from 1 species
UACAGAGGGUGCAAGCGUUAAUCGGAAUUACUGGGCGUAAAGCGUGCGUAGACGGUUACAUAAGUCGGGUGUGAAAGCCCGGGCUCAACCUGGGAAUUGCAUUCGAGACUGCGUAGCUAGGGUGCGGAAGAGGGAAGCGGAAUUUCCGGUGUAGCGGUGAAAUGACGCAGAUAUUAGGAGAACGACCGGUGGCGAAGGCGCCACUCUGGGCCGAAACUGACGCUGAGGAGCGGAAAGCGUGGGUAGCAAACGAGGA